rnacentral:rRNA from 1 species
AUUGAACGCUGGCGGCAGGUCUAACACAUGCAAGUCGAGCGGAUGAAGGGAGCUUGCUCCUGGAUUCAGCGGCGGACGGGUGAGUAAUGCCUAGGAAUCUGCCUGGUAGUGGGGGAUAACGUCCGGAAACGGGCGCUAAUACCGCAUACGUCCUGAGGGAGAAAGUGGGGGAUCUUCGGACCUCACGCUAUCAGAUGAGCCUAGGUCGGAUUAGCUAGUUGGUGGGGUAAAGGCCUACCAAGGCGACGAUCCGUAACUGGUCUGAGAGGAUGAUCAGUCACACUGGAACUGAGACACGGUCCAGACUCCUACGGGAGGCAGCAGUGGGGAAUAUUGGACAAUGGGCGAAAGCCUGAUCCAGCCAUGCCGCGUGUGUGAAGAAGGUCUUCGGAUUGUAAAGCACUUUAAGUUGGAGGAAGGGCAGUAAGCUAAUACCUUGCUGUUUUGACGUUACCAACAGAAUAAGCACCGGCUAACUUCGUG